UAGGGAAUCUUCGGCAAUGGGGGGAACCCUGACCGAGCAACGCCGCGUGAGUGAAGAAGGUUUUCGGAUCGUAAAGCUCUGUUGUUAAGGAAGAACGAGUGUGAGAAUGGAAAGUUCAUACUGUGACGGUACUUAACCAGAAAGGGACGGCUAACUACGUGCCAGCAGCCGCGGUAAUACGUAGGUCCCGAGCGUUGUCCGGAUUUAUUUGGCGUAAAGCGAGCGCAGGCGGUUAGAUAAGUCUGAAGUUAAAGGCAGUGGCUCAACCAUUGUAGGCUUUGGAAACUGUUUAACUUGAGUGCAGAAGGGGAGAGUGGAAUUCCAUGUGUAGCGGUGAAAUGCGUAGAUAUAUGGAGGAACACCGGUGGCGAAAGCGGCUCUCUGGUCUGUAACUGACGCUGAGGCUAGAAAGCGUGGGGAGCGAACAGG
rnacentral:rRNA from 1 species